GACAGAGGGUGCAAACGUUGUUCGGAAUUACUGGGCGUAAAGCGCGUGUAGGCGGCUUUGCAAGUCGGAUGUGAAAGCCCACGGCUCAACCGUGGAAGUGCAUCCGAAACUGCAUGGCUUGAGUCUCGGAGAGGAAGGUGGAAUGCUUGGUGUAGAGGUGAAAUUCGUAGAUAUCAAGCAGAACACCUGCGGCGAAGGCGGCCUUCUGGACGAUGACUGACGCUGAGACGCGAAAGCGUGGGGAGCAAACAGG
rnacentral:rRNA from 1 species